UCAGCAGAGGGAAGAUAGCUUAAGUGUCCAGAUUCUGAAAUAUCAUUGCAAAAUGCACAGCUGACAAGGUUCAGGAAGGCUGGAGAAUGAAGACUGCUAAGCAAAAUAUAUCAGCAGACUCCUUCAGAUUAACCUAGCACUCCAUUAAAAGGGUUCCUUGGUUAGUAAAAAGACAUUUCAAAAGAAUUAUUAUUUGGGGAGCUUCACAAUCAAUCAUGCUGAUAGAUGGUUUCAUUUGUCUGAGAGAGGACUGUUUCAGUACUGUGACAGGGCAAAAAGGAACAACAGCAAAUUCGGCUGUGAGCCACUUGGCACAGUGUUUCAGCAUAUGCUGCUCUGCAUCACAGUUUUGGAAGGACAGAAAGCUCUUAGAAAAGUAAGUGGACAGAAUCAAUCUCAUAUGAGGCAGCCAAAGACAUAAAUGCCAUUUUCAUUUGAAGAUUUCUUCUGUAAAAGAAAACUGAUUCUCUCCAUUAGGCAGUAGUCUUUGCUAAUAAAGUAACUCGUUUUGUUCAAGCGUUCAUGGAGUAAUAUUGAAGUGGCAGAUUUCCUUACUGAGAAUGUCCUGAGCAAGUAAGCACUGAAUUAACUACAGUUACAGACUAGGCCACAAACUCUUGUGCACAGAAGGAUUCAGAAUUAAGCUACAUCGCAACUACACAGUUUUCACUCAAUGCAAAUGAUGAUGGUCUUUAGAGAGCAGAUAUUCUUCAUCUGACAAUCUGCUCCAUGGCCUCUGUAAUGCUAGAGACACUGGUCUUUAAUGAAGCCAGUGCCACUAUAGGAUUCAUCUGGAGUGAUGAAGGUCAGCUACAUCACUCUCAACAUGCCUCCUACCAGCACAGGACCCGAAGGGGAAAAACUAAUGGCUCAUCAGUGGCACAGAUGUGCCUGCAGGAAAAUGUCCCUCUGGUUAUUUAUGGUUCAAUAAAGUCAUUUACAGAGUCUCAGUGGAGCCAAAGGGCCAUAACCAGUCUUGAGAAUCUAUUUUCUUCUUUAAUCUCCACAGGAAUUUCCAUAUACUGUAACUACAUUGCAUUCAUAGAAUGUCCCCCUCAAAGAAAAAUCUGUUUCAUCCAAACCCAUUAUUUGAAAGAGGUUUCUGGAGGGGGUUUUCUACAGAAUAUUUCCCACUAAAACAUCAGGGUGAAAUGAAAAAUUGGCAUGUGUUCAGUGUAAUCUACCCAUUUAGUUGGGGCAAAAGAAAGCAGGAACUAUAAAGGAGAAUGAGAUAAAGAGACAGUACCCAAUGCCUUCAAGAGUCAUCAGAAAUAUCUGGUGAAGAUACAGUUUAAUAAUAAUGUUACUCAAGCAAAAUAUUCUAAUGUAUACAAAGGUAUUUUUGAAACAAUUUUCAAUCAGAAGAAAGAAGGUUCUUUAUUUUCUCUUUUGAAGAGAUUGAGGACAAAAGAACAUUAUCUCAGCACUUCCCAUGUGACAAAAUUCCUUUUGCAGAUAGUUUCUGCAAAAGACAAGGAUUUGCCUUUGGAUCCUUGGCAAGGAUUACUCUUUGAUGACUAUAAGCAGAAGUUAAUCAGAAAAGACUAGGUGAACCUUGAGAUGGAUAAAGCUGAGGUAUUCAGAAGAUGCAAAGCAAAGAUGGAAAGAGAACAUAGAGAAGUCAGCAUACAAAUGAAGAGCAGGGCUGGGAAGCAACUGAAAAAAGAUGGUUAAAGCUUAAGUAAACUCUUCCUGCUAGUGGUCUCGAGUAUUUUUUCUGUCCUAAACCUCCAAACAUAAUUUAUUAAGUAUUCUCAUUACAGCUACAUACUAGUCUAGUCCUAGUACAUGAUUUAAUAAUAUUCUUUAAAAAAUUAAUUGCUUAAAUUUCAUAAGACUUUUUCCCCCCUACUUGAACAGUGGAAAAUGAUCAUUCCCUAAAUAGCUUCAUAUAUUUAGGAAACUUUUUACACACAGGUGUACCAUCAUUGAAUUAAUCUAUUUAUCUUCAUAUUAUUUGUCAUACACAAAACAGAGUAUCACUUUUAAAUUGCAAAAUAUAAAAUGUCUGUCUCAAAAGUGUUUUACACAAAUUUAAUCAUCCCUGUCAUAAAGUGAAUCAUCAUUUCCUUCAGCCACCACAUCAUAAGGUUUAUACUAAGAAAUAAAACAUUUUCCUGAUUUCAGUAUGGAUUCUGCAUUAACUUUCUCUAAAAUGUUAAGAUAGAUCCUGACACUUGUGCCAUAUUAUAUAAAGAAAGGAUUUUGAUAUUAUUUAUAAAGUUCUGUAAUUUAAAACACUCUCCAAAUCCUGUGUUGGGUAGUUUUAGCUAACUGUGUUUAACAGAAAAAUGUGAACUCAUAAAUAAAAACAUUUUGGUUUUUUACUAUAUGGUUAAUCCACUUAGUGAGACAGUACUAAGUUGAUCUAUAGUCACAAUGCUCCCCAAAAUAAAACAACAACAAAAUACAGCAAAUAAAACCAAGCAAACAAACAAAAAGAAACAAAAAUCUUCAUAAGCAGGAUAUAUGUGUGCAUAAUACAGAGGAACCAAUAGUUAGUAUUUUAUAUGUAGCACAUAUGUUCAUGAUAAACACUUUCAUUCUCUACAUAAUUUCAAUAAAUCCUGAAGACUAUUGUGAUUUUCUGAAACAGUGAUUAGAUUACUCUAUUGCAAAAAUCAAAAGUAAUUUAAAAAUAUUUUUGAACAUUUGUGUGCAGAUCUGAAAUUUAUGUUUGCAUUUUAACUUAUUAAUUAUUUACUUAUGCAUUCAAAAAUAAAAUAAAAUAUGGAAACUUUAAAAUUGUUAAUGAUGACAAGAAAAUUUAAAGAAAGUCAAAUCUGGAUCUCCUCCAUCAAUGAAAACGGUAAUGAAACUUCUACAUGAUUAAAGCACUACCUUUAAAUAAUGAUGCUUUUCAGAAAAAUGCAUAUUCAUAUUAAUGAAUAAAUUCUUCAUUUAAUAUCUGAUAUAGAUUUUUUUAACCAAAUUUCCUACUGGAAAAUAUUGUGGUAAAUGAUAGAAUUUAGAAAGCUAUGAAAUGGGCAGAAGAAGCGUGUUGAGCAUGAUAGAGAAUAGGAGAGGUUUUUUGUCACCAUUUCUUGUACCACUUAUAUGAUAUCAUAUGGUCUGCUAUUUCAAUAAAAUGAAGGUUCACUGGCCCAAUUCUAAAUACAGAUUUGAAAAACAUAAUGCAAAGUAUAAAAUACUAGUUAAUAUAUUUAUUUAAGGGUACUUUUUAGAAGUUUACACAACAUUACAAUUGUUCAGCACAUGAUAUUUGACAUAAUGACAGGAUAGAUUCCUCAAAUGCAUAAAUCACAAAUGCACUUGCUCAAGGUAGGAUACAUAUUUAUACAGGAAAGUGAAGAGUCAAAAUAAAGACUGUGCCUGUUCACCUUAACUUAUUUUAGCUCUACCCCAAAAUACAUUAACAAGUCAAACAAUCCAACUGCUGAUGAGCAGCUGUGAGUUUCACAAACCGUCUCUGGACUUACUAAACUGGGCAUAAAAUAUUGUGUACACUACUUCUAAACAAAAACGUAGGGGAGUCCAAUUUUAAUUAACAACAUAGCUUUCCUGUAAGCACACUAAAGCAAAUUCUAGCCACAGAAUAACCUUAAAUGAAAUCAAUAAGCAUUAAAAAUUUAUAUAGCUUCCAGGACUGGGGUACUAACAGUCUCAAUUUGGCAAGGCCAGGGUGCUUUGCUGAAUAAGGAAUUCAAGAUAUACAUAAAGUUUAGCUGUAAUAUAUUUUACCAAAUAUGGCCCAUAAUGAUGAAUUAAGUGAAAAUCAAGAAUGUUUCAAUCUUUCAAAACUACUUUUAGCUUAAAAUUAAUUAAAAUUCUUUCACAACAUUGUUAAUGGCACAGAUUUUAAAUUUUAUUUCUUCCCUUGCAAUCUGUUCAGCCAAUCAAUAGACUGGGAUUUUAAUAUUUGGUUCAUGUCUUGUAAAUUGAUCUAUGAAAAAUCAAAAGUGUUAAAGAGAUCAGUUGUAGCCUAAACAAAAAUCAAAUAUUAGCUCCUGAAGAGCAUUAGCUGGGGCUUUCUACGAUAUGAAUUAAAACCUGCAGUACUGAAUUCCUUGUAAGAAAUAUGUGGAUAAAAUUCUUGCACUUUUAUAGUUUCCCUGAACAGUUUUCAUGAAAUCUAGUGCCUAGUCCACAAAGUCCUUCGUCCUUAUUUAAAAUGAAUAUGGAUUUUGACACAUGUUCACAGAUGGUUACCUAGGAAAUUUCAGCAUGCUUUGGACAUAACUGUAAAAAGUUAUUCUUAGAAGCAUUUGCAAUUCUAGGUGGAUGCUACUUGAGAAAUACACAUGCAAAAAGGUGAAAAGACUAGCUUUUCUCACCAUGGAUGUGUCAGUGUCUCCAUUACCCAGAUCAAAUUUAGCUAUACUUUGCAUAAAGAGGAAGGGUGAUUUACCUUGGGUCAAAGAGUCAGUGCUCAGUAAAAGGAUAAAAUUUUCAGUGACCUUAUCUCUUGCUGGCACUUGUCAUUGUGGGGAUCAAUUUAACUUUACAGCAUUCAAAGCAUCUUUAAUUCCCUUUUGCUGCCGCAGCACAACUCCACACAAUUCUUUCAUUGAGUGCUCUUAGGUCCCCAGUGGGCACUUAAAACUCCCAGGAUAAUUGUGUAAUAGAAUACAGUCUGAAUGGCUGCAACCUACUGCCUUUCUGGCACUCCACAACAAAAACAAAUCAAAACAAAUCCCCAGCAUCCAAAAACCUCCUUCACUCUUCUACCCUGUAAAGCAUGAUCAUAGGAGACUUCAUGGGGUUUUUUAUGAGGAAAAAAAUGGAAAAGUGUGAGUAGUGUAAAUAUCUAUGGAAUGCUAACAAAAAUCAGAAAAAAAAAGAGUUUGCCACCAGUAUUCAGUACAAAAUUGAAUUCAUUGCAUACAGAGUAAAGACUGAUUUAAAGUCACUCAUAAAAGCAACAUUAAGGAGAAAUCUAGGUGUUCAGACAAGAAGUUCUGAUGUAAUAUAAAAUUGUAUACAAGGUUAUACCAUCCAAAGUUUCAGUUUUUAAUAUAUGGGAUUUUUUAUCUCAUCUGGAAAAUCUGGCAAACAGAAUUAGAUAUGCAAGCCAUCUACUCAACAUAUCCUCAAAGUCAAACAGAAUAACUAGUUACAGCAGUUCUUCAUCAUAUACUCUUUUAAAAAGUUACUUCUUAUUUAUUAUUUUUAUUGCAUACAGGUGUUUGCUGGUAUACAACAGCAAAUUGAAUAUGUUUUAUAAAAACAAUUAUAGCCCUUAAAUAUUUUUGAGUAAUUAAUAACAAUUUCAUCCAUCUUGUUUGCAACCUAAAAUGUCGGAUUUCCAGGAGAAGCUGAAGGAGAGAUGAUGAACCCUUUAGUUCUAAAAAAAAAAAACCCUACAAAAAAGUCCUUAUUUUGUCAUUUAAAUUAUUUAGGUCAGGGGCUUAACACUAAUAAAUUGUUCAGUAAAAUGUGCACAAUUAAAUGGCAUUUAGAAUAUUUUAAAUAUGUAUUUUCAAGCUUUCUUUUAAGAAGGUGUAGUCGCAGAAAAACAGGGCUAGCAAGCUAAGUCACUUUAAUGCUUUAAAAUUAUUAUCUUCAAAGGGAGGCAGAAGCCCUAAAUAAGGCAAUAUGAUGUUUUAUCUGAUUUGAUUCCAAACCUCAAGGUGUGUAUGUUCUCAUGCUGCACCCAGAAAUUUUGCAAACAUGAAUUUAUUUCCCACAUUCAGUGAGGCUGCUCAAGCAUUUAACUACAUAUUUACAUGUUUUUUGAGGAAAACAUAUAAAUCAUCCAUCCACUGUUAGGUGACAGGAAAAUUAAAGGAAAUGUUACUGGUUUAGUAUCUAUAUGUGUGUGUGUAUGUAUAUAAAUUUGUUUACUUUUUUCACCUCAACCCCCAGUUCAGAGACUUAAACCAAUUCAGGGACCGAAAUGGGUAUGAAAGGUGUGUUACAGAGACAGCUAGACCCUGAAUCAGCAGGUUACACAUCACUGUACUGCAAUCUAGAUGAGCUUUCAAGAUUAAGACAUUUCUCUAACUAACAAGAAUAACUAAUGUACUGAUUGUGGUGUUUUAAAGUACACAGUCUUGUCUUUAAGUAUCUAAUUACUGCACAUGUUUUGAGAUAAACCUGAAAGUAUAAAUCAUGUGCUAUUUCCGUCUAAAAGUCCAGCUCUUCUAUUUGGGGCUGAGAACAAUCUCUCCUUACAGCAAUUAUUCUGGCUAAACCCUCUUGUUAAAGAGAUAGAUGACCCAGACCCCUUAAAGUGUUCUUAAUCUUAUGGGUGGAAUUACAAGGAAAAUAGUGAAUUUUCAAUACUGAUUAUAGAGAGUGUGUCUUUCAAUAAGGGAAAAUGUAUAAAAUCAAUCCUUGUUGUCUGUCUUUUAUAGUGUAUCAAAUAUUACACAGAAGACUUUUUUUACAUGCAACAUAUAUCAAAAACAGCAGCUUAAUAAAUUCGUGAGGCACCUUGAUCAGAAGGCAAGUAAGGAAUAUGAAUGCCACUGCUAAGAAAACAAAACCUGCUUGGUACUAAAUAUAUCUCAUCCCAAUAAAAGAAAUCCAGGAAAACUUCAGAAAGACAAACAAACAAAAACAACCCACAGACUUAAAAAAUAUGUAUAAGAUUUCUGUCUUUUCAGAGUAUAAAAAGAGCAGCCUCUGAAUGCAUUACUGGAAUUCAGAAAUGGCAUUCUCCCCCUGCAGGUGCAUUACAUAGAGGUCAGUAUAACCCCAUAGCCCACUAAAUACAGUAUUGCUAAGAACAGGCCAUAUGUUUUGUACUGAUGUUGCAAGGCCUCAGAAAUUAGCUUUGUCGGAAUUACUUUGUACUUUUCUUGACCUGCUUGGAACUUUGGUUUAGAUUGUUUAGCUAUAAAAGACUGAUUAAGUGUCUAUGACUAGUUUGCUUUAUUUUUGUACAACUGUAUUAUAUAACUGUAAUCCUGUAUAUACUUUUGCAACAAGUAGAACAAAAUAUUCAUGGCUCUAACAUAAUAGUGUAAAGCAGAGAAAUACAAACUUGGCAUGACAGUGGAGGCUUUAAAAGCAGCUUGAAAACUGUGUGAAAUGUAGAGGAACCCAGGCAUGGGAUGGUAAGAUAAGUGACCCAGGGUUGGCUCUAGAGAGCCUUGACUUGUAAACUCAACUGUGGACAAUUAAAGGAAUGCAGGGUAACAAGGAGAAAAGCAAGAAGUAUCCAGUAUAUGCAACAAGCUUUCUAUGUAGUAAAUUCAGCUUUAACAUGGACCUACAGAUCUGCAAAGAAAGAGCAAAGUUUGCAUGGUGUGUUAGAAGAACAUAGAAAUUACCCUAAGCAGCUCCUACCAAGAGGGAGAGGCAGUUACCAUUAAAGUCAUAUUGCUCUUGUCAAUGCACUCAGGAUCCUGAAAACUUGCAUGUCCAGCUGAAAAUGUCAACUGCAAGAAGCCAAGGAGCAGUAGAAAGGUGAUAUAAAUGCAAGGAAAGGCAUAGAUAAAAAGAAGUCCAUAUUUAAGCUUAAGUUUAGAUCCCUGAAAAAUGGUACUGAAAGAUUUGUUAGUGUCUCAACAUAAGGAAAUAACCUUCUAGUUCAGUUAAACUCAUGCAGCCUGAUGUUCAUUUGGAACAGUUUCCCCCACAAUCUUCCACACACUAUUUUUCCUUCUACAUACCCUUAUUUCUGGUUUGCAUGUACCAACAUUUACAUUAAAAAAAAAAAAAAAAAUCCACAGGGCUGUAUAUAUUUGUACAGGAAUUUGAAGAAAAAAGACUUUUAUGCUUUGCUGUCUACUUUUAAGAUAUUUAAUCCUAACAGAAUUUUAUUGGAAUAAAAAUUUUUAUUUCAAUAUCAAGUAACAUGGAAUGGAAGAAACACUUGAUAUAAUGCAUUUAUUGCUAUAACAACAUACUCUGACAAGACUUCAUUAUACUUCAGGCUAUCAACUGCAGCAUCUGUUCACAUAUCCCUUAAACUGUGAAGUGGGCAAUGUAUCAGCACAAAGUGCGUUCUAAAACAUCAGAGUGAUACUAGGAUCAUCCCUUCUCAAGUGAUAAUGAUAAUUUAGCCAAACAUUUGCAUAUGGCCUUUCAAAAAAAAGAAAAAAAGGGAGCAAAAACCCCACACAUUACCAGAAUAUAUUGGCUGCUACCUGCAAAAAAAGUAACAUGCAAGUAAAAACAUUAGAAGAGACUACACAGAAUGUGGUUUCUCCAUGGAAAUAUUUCUGCAGGACAAGCAGCCUAUAGGCAAAGUAGGCGAAGCUAUUCUAGCACCAGGUAAAAAAAUUCAAAGCUGAAGGCAUCCGUAAAGCUAUUCAUUUUCACUUUUUUUCACACAUAUUACAGCUACUUCAAGCAGAUCUCAAAAUCUGAAAGACUAUGGCCUUUGAUUGAAACAAGUGCUAUUUCCUUACUAACUGUGCUAAUUCAGCGAAGUGGUAAAGCUGAGCUGAAUCAUCAUGCAAAUCUGUGAGAAGCUUUAAAAUACUAGCUGCAAAAUGAAAACAUUUUGUAUUUAUUCAUAAAGCCAAGAGACUAAAAAUCUGAAUCUUCUUUAUGUCUGCUGAACUUUGGAAUAAAUUACAGAGCAAGAAUAAUAAUAUUAAAAAUUUAAAAAUAAACUCCAAAGCUAGUAUGGUCACAACCAUUUGGAAUAGAAUUGGCUAUCUUUUAUGUCACAUUAUUAUAAUGUGCAGAGAGCACACAUUUCCUGAUAGAGCCAUCAGUUGUGUUUAUGUUCCAGUACAAGACAUGCACAGCAUACUUCCUUAAAAAGUAGCAUGUAAGAGAAACAAGCACACAGUCUGCAUCAGAAUUCUAGCUGCAGAGGACCCUAAAAAUAUCUACAAUUGCACUUCUACCUUCAGUGUAAGUAGAAGUGCAAUUGGACUGUAGGUCCAUGUUCAGUUUUCAAUCUCCUAUAAAUCAAAACACCUGAAUAAUAACAUGAAGUUAGCCACUAUUCUGAAACCCAUUGACCACCUUUUCUCACAAGAGAGUAAAUGUGAUAGAAGCUACACAACCACAUUCAAGUGUUGUCCCAAAACAGACUACUACAUGCAACCAGCAAGCUCCAAAGAAGUUCUGCAACUUUCAAAGCAUGCAAAACACUGAAAAACACCCUCAGCCUUCCAAAUGUCAGAGAGCAUCCAGGCAUAACUCCAGAGACAAGAUAUCCUUGUUGAACAUACUGCUCCAGAAAACGAUUCAGAGGAGGAACUUAACCUGUCUUCUUCCUGAAACUGAUCCACGUAAUUCCUUCUUCACUAACAGUACAAAGACAUAAGCCUUCCUUGACUUUUGUUCCUAGAACUAUAUUUUGUAUGAAUAGGCUCUGCUUCAGUAGGGAAAUAUGCCCAGAAUAUUCAAGGUAAGCAUCUUCCAUUGCUGCAAAUUGUUGGCCCAAAAGUCUUGACUGACCAGAAGGCACUAUGAUUACACACCAGCAUUUCAAGGUUUGUACUUGCAUACUCAGGUGCUGAGCAGGCUGGAAACAAUGAGGCUGCAUACGUCUGAUCGCAAUUGGCCCCAAACUCCUCAGUCUGCCCUUUCCGGUGUGCUAUAUGUCUCACUGAAUACUCAAAAUCAAGAAUCAAAACAGUACAACAGAGGAGGGAGAAAGUAAUUGUACCCAAAUUUUUUUUAAAGGAAAUUAAAUUAAAAUGUGGUGAGAGUUGAUGUAAAUGAGUUGUCAUCUACAGGAGGACUCAUUACUUCAGUAAGCCUAAGGACAAGAAGCUUAAGGACAUCUAUGGCCUAUAUUUUCUGCAAUGCUGAGAGUGGGAUUGAGUGCAAGUUUGCUGAUGACACCAAGGUGUGUGGUCUGGUUGAGAUGCUGGAAGGAAUGGAUGAUGUCCAGAUGGACCUUGACAGGCAGAAGUUGGCCCAUGUGAACUUCAUGAAGUUGAACAAGGCAAAGUGCAAGGCGUUGCAUCUGGGUUGGAGCAAUUCCAAGCUCAAAGAGAUAGAGGGGGUGAGAAUGGAUGGAGAGAAGCCCAGAGAAGAUGGACGUGUGGGUGUUGGUUGAUGAGAGGCUCAAUAUGAGCUGGCAAUGUGUUUUCAGCUCAGAAAACUAAUCAUGUCCUUGGGUGCAUCAAAAGUAACAUGGCUAGCAGGGUGAGGGAGGUAUUCUUCUCUCUCUCCUCUUCUCUUCUGAGACCCCACUGGGAAUGCUGUAUCCAGCUCUGGGUUCCCCAGCAAAAGAAGGAUGUGAACCUGCUGAAGCAAGAUCAGAGGAGGGUCACGAAAGAUGAUCAGAAAGCUGGAACCCCUCAUUUUGGAGGACAGGCUGAGGGAGUUGGGGUUUUUCAGCCUGGAGAAGAGUGGGCUCCAAGGAGACCUUUUAGCACCUUUCCACUACCUUAGGGGGACAUACAAGAAUGCUGGAGGGACUUGUUACAAGGACAUAUACCGAUAAGACAAGGGGCAAUGUUUUUAAACUCAAAGAGGAUAGGUUUAGAUAGAUACUUUACUGUGAGGGUAAUGGAACAGAUUUCCCAGAAAAGCUGUGAAUGCCCCAUUCCUGAAAGUGUUCAAGGCCAUUGGAUGGGGAUUGAGACACCUGGUCUAGUGGAAACUCUCCCUGCCCAUGGCAGAGUUGUUGGAAGGAGAUGAUCUUUAAGGUCCCUUCCAAGCCAAAGAGUUCUAUGAUUCUAUGAUCAAAGGCAUUGGAGGUCCAAAAUCUAUUGGCUGCAAAAAGCCUGGAAAACUAAACACAUCUCUGAAAUUCCAUUUGUAUUGUGUAUAGGUGGCAAGAUUUUGAGCAACAUGAAAGCUACAGGGAUGGCUGCUUUGGCAGGAGAAUAAAAUGAGUCUUGUCCCAGACUCAGCUGGUUUCAGUCUUCUCCACAAUGGACCCACAACAGGACAAACUGGAGAUUGUUGGUUAUUUGUGCAUUUCCUCUGGCAGAGCAUAUUUAAAGAGAGAGGAGAAAGGAGAAAGUGUGAGAAAUGAUCCUGCAAGAAACAAGGUUUCUCAAGGAGGGUGAAGAUGUGCUCCAGGUGACGUACCAGACAUUCCCUUGUAACUCUUGGUGAAGCAAUUUAUUUCCCUACAACCCAAGUACUUGACCACAUUGGAAUAAAUAUUCAUCUUGCAGCCCUCAAAGGACCGAGCUCUGGCAUGUUGUUAUUUCCUUUUAAGAUUAAGAUAUAAAAUAAUGUAUAUUUUGUGUAUAUAUUUUCAGAUUCCCAGACCUACUAUUUAUUAGUCAUAAUGUGUCAGAAUGGGAAAAGUUGCUUUCUAAUGCAAGAUUCAUGAUGGUUUUUGAGUUAAAUUAUUAUACUUCCUCGAGUUCUGAAUGACACAGAUAUAUAGCACAAGUUUAGGAAGAUUAACUUGCUAUCAAAUAUCAUACUCUAAUUCAAAAAUUUAUAUAUUAGGAGAUUAGAGGAUUGGACUCAAGUCAAAAGGAAGAGAUAGCACUACUAUUAUAUGUAUUUUAUGAAGAAUUGCCUUUAGAUUUUUCACAUUCUUUAUGUUUAUUUAAAUAACAUAAUUUCUGUACAUAGAUGUACAAAUGUGAACAGGUAUAGAUACACAAGAGAAAUGCUUUCAUGCAUUAAAAGUAUUCACAUGUGUCUAGCCCUUGACACAUGGUGUUGCAUGUCGGGUGCUGUCGCGUGCUGUCACAUACUGUGCAUCUGGAUUUCAGAUUACAGCAAGCACUUUUGAUUAUUUGCAUGUAAAAAACUAUAUUUGGCAGUACAUUUUAACUUCUUAUAGUUAAGUGAGGCUCAGGUGAGAGAUUUUUCUGAAUGCUAAGAUGCCAUUGAAAAUGUUAGUUCUCAACAAUAAAGAGAUUGACCCUUGA